UAAAAUUGGGCUCUGCCCUUUGUGGGUGGUU
rnacentral:piRNA from 1 species